GAGCUUGCUUAAUCAUCUGAUUCUCUCUCCUACGAAUAUCUUCAAAGAAAGAGACGGAAUUCUGCAUGAUCUCCUGACCUGUCACUCCCUUCUGCUCUUUUGUAUCCCCAUUUGCAUUAAGCUGACCUAAGCCCAUACAUAAAGAUGAUGCUUUGGCAUCUAAGCCAGUUAAACUCUUGUGGUUUGAAUUCUUGAGAGAUUCUGCUUCACUGGAUUCAUUUUCUUCCAAGGAGAUACUAGAAGGCAAACUGGACUUCAAAUGUUUGAUAU
rnacentral:misc_RNA from 1 species